rnacentral:lncRNA from 1 species
CCAAGACAUGGAUCCAGAAGCAAGUCCACAACCCAACAAAAGAUGCCUGUGUCAUUGGUGUCAUGCCUAUUUUCCUCACCACCCCCCCAAGGGACAUCUGUCAGGACCCUGCAACACCUGUGCUCCUUGCAUUGUUCUGCAGUCACCCUUGUUGUGUCACUUCACUGGUUAAAAUGACCACGAGAGCAUCGGACAUCAUAGCCAUAUUCCAACCGCUAGAAAGAAGGGCUAUGUCAAGAAGGGUGAAACUUUAAGGAUUGAUACUUCCCUUAACGUUCAACUGCCUGUUUCACAAAAGCCGCACUGCUGGGACUUGGUUGCUGUUGGGACCCAGCCCCCACAGGGUCUCUGUGAGUUGUUUUCCAGCAUAAGCACAGGUACCUCAUGUUUUCCUGGCCUCGCCCCACUAGCAUCAACAUCCUGUUGUGAACCUUUACUGUUGGGUACAGAACCCACCUUCAGAUCUGUGACGACCUUUUCUUACUUCCUGUUUUGAUACAUUGUGCCUUGCCCCCAUCCCCUUCCUGCUUCUUGGCCUUGGGCAGGGGUUUCCUUGUUUAUGAUAGGGCGUGGGAAUGCGCUCUGCUAGCAGGUGGUAAUUUUCCAUUUCCUCUUGUUAUGAUUGUAUAUAAACUGCGGGCUUCAAUAAACC